UGGGGAAUAUUGCACAAUGGGCGAAAGCCUGAUGCAGCGACGCCGCGUGAGGGAUGACGGCCUUCGGGUUGUAAACCUCUUUCAGCAGGGACGAAGCGAAAGUGACGGUACCUGCAGAAGAAGCGCCGGCCAACUACGUGCCAGCAGCCGCGGUAAGACGUAGGGCGCGAGCGUUGUCCGGAAUUAUUGGGCGUAAAGAGCUCGUAGGCGGCUUGUUGCGUCGACUGUGAAAACCUGCGGCUCAACCGUGUGGUCUGCAGUCGAUACGGGCAGGCUAGAAUUCGGUAGGGGAGACUGGAAUUCCUGGUGUAGCGGUGAAAUGCGCAGAUAUCAGGAGGAACACCGAUGGCGAAGGCAGGUCUCUGGGCCGAUAUUGACGCUGAGGAGCGAAAGCGUGGGGAGCAAACAG
rnacentral:rRNA from 1 species